rnacentral:rRNA from 1 species
CAGUCGCCACGGUAAUACGAAGGGGGCUAGCAUUGUUCGGAAUCACUGGGCGUAAAGCGCACGUAGGCGGAUACUUAAGUCAGGGGUGAAAUCCCGGGGCUCAACCUCGGAACUGCCUUUGAUACUGGGUAUCUUGAGUCCGGGAGAGGUUGGUGGAACUCCGAGUGUAGAGGUGAAAUUCGUAGAUAUUCGGAAGAACACCAGUGGCGAAGGCGGCCAACUGGCCCGGUACUGACGCUAAGGUGCGAAAGCGUGGGGAGCAAACAGGAUUAGAUACCCCAGUAGUCCCUGUCUCUUAUAC